UUUAGUGCCUUAUUGCUAACAGGAUGCAUGUUUUGGAGUAUUUGUAUUUUGUACAGGCUUCCUUCUUUUCACUGUUGAUUGUUGUGUUACAUUCACUGGACUCCCACCAAUUAAACUUCAUGUACAAUUACCAUCUAGUUUUAUUUAUGUAUUUGACAGGGACCAUGCCAAUUAAACACAUGGACCAGAUUAAAGCUAGAUUGCUUAUUCUCAUCUCCAUUCUCUCAUUUUACACCAUAAAUAACCAGAUUCACCACAAUAAAACGGAGAUGAUGCAGUUCUUCGGUUUUUCCAGGAGAGGGCCUGAGAUGCAACCUUUGUAUUGGCAAUGGCUGCAGAAACACAGUGGAAACCUGCCGUAUUGACCAUGACUCCUGCGCCACGGUCAUAUUCAAGUACCCACUUCCUAUCUUGUACUUCAAGAGAUGCAUGAAGAUGUCAGAAUGCUUGAUGCUGGGAAGCAACAAGGAUAUUGAUGCCUUUUGCUGCACCACCAACCAAUGCAACUGAGAGACACAUACUCUGUCUAACAUACUAUACAGUCCAUUUAUUGUACUAAGCUGAAUAUCACUAAUCAAUGCACAUGAUUGAAACUGUCAAGAAGU